rnacentral:misc_RNA from 1 species
UUGACUCAUUAUAAGAGUACUCAGAGAUGCCAUGAAAUACAAGAGUUUGUGGUGUCGCCCGGCGGCGGUCCGCCCGUUUCCGAGCUCCCCACCGCCGAAGCAGCGAUCCGGGGGGUUUCACAAAGGGUUGGGAGUUUUGCAACUCGCUAAUGAUCCCUCCGCUGGUUCACCAACGGAGA